rnacentral:rRNA from 1 species
UACAGAGGGGGCAAGCGUUAUUCGGAAUUAUUGGGCGUAAAGGGCGCGUAGGCGGCCUGGCAAGUGGAAGGUGAAAUCCCUCGGCUUAACCGAGGAACUGCCCUCCAAACUGCUUGGCUUGAGUCCGGAAGAGGAGAGUGGAAUUCCCGGUGUAGCGGUGAAAUGCGCAGAUAUCGGGAAGAACACCCGUGGCGAAGGCGGCUCUCUGGGACGGUACUGACGCUGAGACGCGAAAGCGUGGGGAGCGAACAGG